rnacentral:rRNA from 1 species
UACGUAGGGGGCGAGCGUUGUCCGGAAUGAUUGGGCGUAAAGGGCGCGUAGGCGGCCUUUUAAGUCUGAAGUGAAAGUCCUGGUUUUAAGUUGGGAAUUGCUUUGGAUACUGGAAGGCUUGAGUGCAGGAGAGGUAAGUGGAAUUCCCAGUGUAGCGGUGAAAUGCGUAGAGAUUGGGAGGAACACCAGUGGCGAAGGCGACUUACUGGACUGUAACUGACGCUGAGGCGCGAAAGUGUGGGGAG